CUACUUCCUAAACUUUCUGUAAGAUCGCUGCCUUGAUGAUAAAAAGCCGUGACCAAAAAAACCCCCACUUUGUUCUAACCCCGCGCCACGGAGUGAGAAGGAUGAUUUACCAGAAUUUAACAGCCGAGUUACCUCUCUGCCCCAAGCCUGCUGACCUUCUGGAAAAUUACCGAGAUUCAUCAUCGUUACCAAAAUUGAUGCCCCGGGUCCCUCCGUGGCGCGCGUUUGUUCUGCAUGCGCUGACACCUCGCGGAUCCCUGGGGCGAGUUGCAGCAUCCCCUUUUCCCUGGGGGCUCAGCCAAGGGCUUUCAGGUGGGCAAUCACUCGAGAGGGCAGAGGGUGGAGACGGCGAGCUUCAGCAUGGACCUGCAUGGUCAGCAGAGGGUGCCCGCCUCCUCGUCCCUGCCCACCCCACUACAGAGGCCCGGGGCUGGCCGUGAGGCCUGUACCAACGGCUGAUACCUACUGUGGAGGUAGAUUCUCGCCUCGGUUGAAAGAUGAGGUAGGGUACAGACCGUGGAAUAUUAUUCAGCCUGGAAAAGGAAGGACAUUCUGACACCUGCCACAACAUGCAUGAACUCUGAGGACCCCAUAUGCAGUGAAAUAAGCCAGUCACAAAAGGACGAACUUUGCACGAUGCCACUCACAUGAAGCCUCUCGAGGAGUUAAACUCACGGAGACAGAGAGUGGAACGGUGGUGGCCGGGGGCUGGGGGAGGAGGUGGUGGGGGUCUUGUUUAAAGGGGACUGAGUGUAAACUUUGUAAGAGGAAAGCGUUCUGAGGAAGGAUGGUAUGACCGCCGCACGACAUUGUCAGUGUACUUAGUGCCGCUGAACUGGACACUUACAAAUGGUCAAGAUGGUGCAUUUCGUGAGAGGGGUGUUUUACCACAAUAAUACAAAAACA
rnacentral:lncRNA from 1 species